rnacentral:rRNA from 1 species
UACUCCAGCUCCAAAAGCGUAUAUUAAAGUUGCUGCAGUUAAAAAGCUCGUAGUUGGAUCUGGGUCGUGCGGUCGCAUGCCGUUGCUUGUUCACUGUUUUGGUUACGAUCAGGACGUGUUCAGCUCGGUGUAGUGGCUGUGCAGCCUUUCAGCCGUGUCUGUGUUAAACGGGUGCUGGUGGGUUGACGAGUUCGUCUUGUUGACCUGUCGGCAUGCUUCCGGAUGCCUUUAAACGGGUGUCGGGAGCGGACGGCAUCUUUACUUUGAACAAAUUUGAGUGCUCAAAGCAGGCCUGUGCGCCUGAAAAUUCUUGCAUGGAAUAAUGAAAUAGGACUUCGGUUCUAUUUUGUUGGUUUUCGGAUCCGAAGUAAUGGUUAAGAGGGACAGACGGGGGCAUUUGUAUGGCGGUGUUAGAGGUGAAAUUCUGGGAUCGA